ensembl:ncRNA C34D1.8 ncRNA
UGUUUUUUUGCGACGUUGCGAAAAGUAAAGUAAUGUUUGUUUGUUUGUUGUCGAGCAACUCGAUAUUUCUGCAUGAGACAUCACUACUGGAAAAUAAGGUGUUAGAGAAUGAGACCGAACGGAAUAUAUUUAGCAAGUUUU